rnacentral:rRNA from 1 species
CCUACGGGGCGCAGCAGUAGGGAAUCUUCGGCAAUGGGCGAAAGCCUGACCGAGCAACGCCGCGUGAAUGAAGAAGGCCUUCGGGUUGUAAAAUUCUGUUAUAAGGGAAGAAAGGUGAUAGGAGGAAAUGACUAUCAAUUGACGGUACCUUAUGAGAAAGCCACGGCUAACUACGUGCCAGCAGCCGCGGUAAUACGUAGGUGGCAAGCGUUAUCCGGAAUUAUUGGGUUUAAAGGGUGCGUAGGCGGGCUUUUAAGUCAGCGGUAAAAAUUCGGGGCUCAACCCCGUCCGGCCGUUGAAACUGG